rnacentral:rRNA from 1 species
UACAGAGGGUGCAAGCGUUGUUCGGAAUUAUUGGGCGUAAAGCGCGUGUAGGCGGCUUUGCAAGUCGGGUGUGAAAGCCCUCAGCUCAACUGAGGAAGUGCGCCCGAAACUGCAGAGCUUGAGUGCCGGAGAGGGUGGCGGAAUUCCCCAAGUAGAGGUGAAAUUCGUAGAUAUGGGGAGGAACACCAGUGGCGAAGGCGGCGACCUGGGCCAAUAUUGACGCUGAGGUGCGAAAGCGUGGGGAGCAAACAGG